GCUCGACUGGCCCAGUGGUAAGGCGUCUGUUUUACACACAGAAGAUCCUCGGUUCGAUCCCGAGGUUGAGCA
rfam:Aspergillus brasiliensis CBS 101740 unplaced genomic scaffold ASPBRscaffold_2, whole genome shotgun sequence.